UACAGAGGGGGCAAGCGUUGUUCGGAAUUACUGGGCGUAAAGGGCGCGUAGGCGGCGUGUUAAGUCGAACGUGAAAUCCCCGGGCUCAACCCGGGAACUGCGUCCGAGACUGGCAUGCUUGAAUCCGGGAGAGGGAUGUGGAAUUCCAGGUGUAGCGGUGAAAUGCGUAGAUAUCUGGAGGAACAUCGGUGGCGAAGGCGGCAUCCUGGACCGGUAUUGACGCUGAGGCGCGAAAGCCAGGGGAGCAAACGGG
rnacentral:rRNA from 1 species